GAUCCUGGCUCAGGAUGAACGCUGGCGGCGUGCUUACACAUGCAAGUCGAACGGGAACCUUUGGAUUCGUCUGAAGGGGAGAGUGGCGAACGGGUGAGUAACACGUGGGUGACCUGCCUCGAAGACGGGGAUAACUACUGGAAACGGUGGCUAAUACCCGAUGGUCUCGAUAAUUCGGUUUAUCGAGUAAAGGCUCCGGCGCUUUGAGAGGGACCUGCGGCCCAUCAGCUAGUUGGUAGGGUAAUGGCCUACCAAGGCAAAGACGGGUAGGGGGCGUGAGAGCGUGACCCCCCACACUGGCACUGGGACACGGGCCAGACUCCUACGGGAGGCAGCAGUGAGGAAUAUUGCGCAAUGAGCGAAAGCUAGACGCAGCAACGCCGCGUGGGUGAUGAAGGCCUUCGGGUCGUAAAACCCUUUUCUGGGGGAAGAGUAAGGACGGUACCCCAGGAAUAAGCCUCGGCUAACUAUGUGCCAGCAGCCGCGGUAAUACAUAGGAGGCAAGCGUUAUCCGGAUUUACUGGGCGUAAAGAGCGUUGAGGCGGCUUCGUAAGUUGGACGUGAAAGCUCCCGGCUUAACUGGGAGAGGCCGUUCAAUACUGCGGGGCUUGAGGACAGCAGAGGGGGGUGGAAUUUCCGGUGUAGUGGUGAAAUGCGUAGAUAUCGGAAGGAACACCAGUGGCGAAGGCGGCCCCCUGGGCUGCUCCUGACGCUGAAGGCGAAAGCUAGGGUAGCGAACGGGAUUAGAAACCCCGGUAGUCCUAGCCGUAAACGAUGGAUACUAGGUGUAGGAGGUUAAAAUUCCUUCUGUGCCGGAGCUAACGCGGUAAGUAUCCCGCCUUGGGGAGUACGGUCGCAAGGCUUAAACUCAAAGGGAAUUGACGGGGGCCCGCACCAAGCAGCGGGAGCGUGUGGUUUAAUUUCGAUGCAACGCGAAAACCCCCCCCAGGGCUUGACAUGUAGGUAGUAGUGAAGCGAAAGGCGGACGAUUCUUUCGGGAAGCCUACACAGGUGCUGCAUGGCUGUCGUCAGCUCGUGCCGUGAGGUGUUAGGUUAAGUCCUGUAACGAGCGCAACCCCUGCCGUUAGUUACAAGUGUCUAACGGGACUG
rnacentral:rRNA from 1 species